rnacentral:rRNA from 1 species
UACCGGGGGCUCGAGCGUUAGUCGGAAUCACUGGGCUUAAAGGGUGCGUAGGCGGCUCGUCAAGUGCUUUGUGAAAUCCCACAGCUCAACUGUGGAACAGCAGGGCAAACUGACGAGCUUGAGGCAGGUAGGGGCCGGAAGAACAGUAGGUGGAGCGGUGAAAUGCGUAGAUAUCUACUGGAAUGCCGAUGGGGAAGCCGUCCGGCUGGGCCUGUCCUGACGCUGAGGCACGAAAGCGUGGGGAGCAAACAGG